GAUGAAGAACGUAGCGAAAUGCGAUAAGUAAUGUGAAUUGCAGAAUUCAGUGAAUCAUCGAAUCUUUGAACGCACAUUGCGCCCGCCAGUAUUCUGACGGGCAUGCCUGUUCGAGCGUCAUUACAACCCUCAGGCCCCCGGGCCUGGCGUUGGGGAUCGGCGGAAGCCCCCUGCGGGCACAACGCCGUCCCCCAAAUACAGUGGCGGUCCCGCCGCAGCUUCCAUUGCGUAGUAGCUAACACCUCGCAACUGGAGAGCGGCGCGGCCACGCCGUAAAACACCCAACUUCUGAAUGUUGACCUCGAAUCAGGUAGGAAUACCCGCUGAACUUAAGCAUAUCAAUAAGCGGAGGA
rnacentral:misc_RNA from 1 species